rnacentral:rRNA from 1 species
CAGCCGCCGCGGGAAUACGUAGGUGGCAAGCGUUGUCCGGAAUUAUUGGGCGUAAAGCGCGCGCAGGUGGUUUAAUAAGUCUGAUGUGAAAGCCCACGGCUCAACCGUGGAGGGUCAUUGGAAACUGUUAAACUUGAGUGCAGGAGAGAAAAGUGGAAUUCCUAGUGUAGCGGUGAAACGCGUAGAGAUUAGGAGGAACACCAGUGGCGAAGGCGGCUUUUUGGCCUGUAACUGACACUGAGGCGCGAAAGCGUGGGGAGCAAACAGGAUUAGAUACCCCCGUAGUCCCUGUCUCUUAUAA